GACCGCAUCCAUGGUCCAGCGGUAGGAUAAUUGCCUUCCAUCUGUCUGCUCACUAAGCAAUUGCUUAGUCAGCGAUUAGUCAGCAAUUGGCACGGGUUCGACUCCCGUUGGAUGCAA